AUUGAACGCUGGCGGCAUGCCUAACACAUGCAAGUCGAACGGCAGCACUGCAGUAGCAAUACUGUGGGUGGCGAGUGGCGGACGGGUGAGGAAUACGUCGGAAUCUGCCCAGUCGUGGGGGAUAACUAGCCGAAAGGUUAGCUAAUACCGCAUACGACCGAGAGGUGAAAGCGGGGGACCGCAAGGCCUCGCGCGAUUGGAUGAGCCGACGUCGGAUUAGCUAGUUGGCGGGGUAAAGGCCCACCAAGGCGACGAUCCGUGGCUGGUCUGAGAGGAUGAUCAGCCACACUGGAACUGAGACACGGUCCAGACUCCUACGGGAGGCAGCAGUGGGGAAUAUUGGACAAUGGGCGCAAGCCUGAUCCAGCAAUGCCGCGUGUGUGAAGAAGGCCUCGG
rnacentral:rRNA from 1 species